rnacentral:rRNA from 1 species
GGAAUUGACGGGGCCGCACAAGCGGUGGAGCAUGUGGUUUAAUUCGAUGAUACGCGAGGAACCUUACCUGGGCUCAAAUGUAUGUUGACGUAUUCUGAAAGGGAUACUUCUUCGGACAAUAUACAAGGUGCUGCAUGGUUGUCGUCAGCUCGUGCCGUGAGGUGUCGGGUUAAGUCCCAUAACGAGCGCAACCCCUAUCAUUAGUUGCCAUCAGGUCAAGCUGGGGACUCUAAUGAAACUGCCUACGCAAGUAGUGAGGAAGGUGGGGAUGACGUCAAAUCAGCACGGCCCUUACGUCCAGGGCUACACACGUGCUACAAUGGCCGGCACAACGGGAAGCGAGUUCGCGAGGACGAGCGGAUCCCUCAAAGCCGGUCGCAGUUCGGAUUGAAGUCUGCAACUCGACUUCAUGAAGCUGGAAUCGCUAGUAAUCGUGGAUCAGCCAAGCCGCGGUGAAUACGUUCCCGGGCCUU